CGGGAGGAAAAAUAGUUGGAGGGGACGGCGAAGGGGCUGUAAAGCGACCGGUCUGGUGGAGCCAUCUUAUUAUUCACAUUUGGAAGCAAUGUAGAGAUGUCCUUGUCCUUGCUCUGCUGUCCACAGAAGGUAAGGAAACAGCAUCUUACAUUUGGCCCCUGAACAGGGACAGCCCCCCAUGGAGCAACUGGGACAGCCCCUCCUUCCGAGGAAGCAACAGCCAACUUACUUACCAGCAUCUGGAAUAGACCCCUAAGUGCACUUUUGUCCUAUGGGAUCCCUCAAUGGUAAGUAAGGGUUGCAACUAUCUCAGCACCAGCAGAAACAUGUACAGGAACUCAGAUUCCUGUUACACAAAUCAGGUGGGAAAGCGCCUGAGGCAGACAUAAGGAAGCUGGUGGAUGAAGUAGGGAAACAUUCCCCUUGAUAUCCUAAGCGCUGGAUGCUUAGAUUACGAGAUAGGACAUACUUUACAUCUUGAAUCUCGGGCUCCAAUACAGGUAUUACAUCAAUGGCAUCAGUGCCAUCAAGCAGUGGAAAAAUUUGGAUCAGAUGCUUCAGCAGGGCAACAAUUAACUACAAGCCCCACAGCUGAUUAGGAUCAAGUAAAAACUGCCUCUGAAAGCAUCUUUAAUUGGAUUUUCAGCUCCUUCUGAAGAGGCUAAUUCUUUUGCCUUCUUACGGCCACCAUACACCCCCGUAAGGAAAAUAUUAGAGGAACAAUCUUGAAGUAGAAUAUAUAUGGGGAAUCGUCAGAGGAAUU